GGGAGUAUAGCUCAGUCGGUAGAGCGGCAUCCUCAUAAGAUGACAGGUCGCAGGUUCAAGUCCUGCUACUCCUA
rnacentral:tRNA from 1 species